UUGCCCCGAGAUGAGUUCUCCCUGACCCUUUAAGGGUCCUGAAGGAACGUUGAAGACGACGACGUUGAUAGGCCGGGUGUGUAAGCGCAGCGAUGCGUUGAGCUAACCGGUACUAAUGAACCGUGAGGCUUAACCUU
rnacentral:rRNA from 1 species